rnacentral:rRNA from 1 species
CCUUCCUACGGGACGCAGCAGUCGGGAAUAUUGCGCAAUGGAGGAAACUCUGACGCAGUGACGCCGCGUAUAGGAAGAAGGUUUUCGGAUUGUAAACUAUUGUCGUGAGGGAAGAAGAUGACAGUACCUCAGGAGGAAGCUCCGGCUAACUAUGUGCCAGCAGCCGCGGUAAUACAUAGGGAGCAAGCGUUAUCCGGAAUUAUUGGGUGUAAAGGGUGCGUAGACGGCCGUGCAAGUCUGAUGUGAAAGCCUUCGGCUCAACCGGAGAAUUGCAUCAGAAACUGUUGAACUUGAGUGCAGAAGAG